AUGCCCGUCGCGACUUACCAUUACCAAGCGCUCAAAGAGGCCCUCGCCGCUUCCAUCUCCACCGCCGGCGACGUGCGCCGCCCCCACGCCCUCGCCGUAGUGUCGGGUCUCGCCAGCAACGGCUACGUCGUCUCCCUCCUCGUAUCUCGCUACUUCCGCCUCGGCGCCGCCAAUGCCGCGCGCAGGGCGUUCGACGCUGUUCCCCGGCCCCGGGCAGCAUCGCUCCCCGUCUCGGCGCCGCCGCCUAAGCCCCUCCUCUACAACGCCAUGAUCCGCGGGUACCUCGCUCUCGGCCUCCCCCGCCUGGCGGUCGGUGUCUUCCGAGAGAUGGCGUGCCCGCCCGACCGCCACACGUACCACCUCGCCGUGAUGGCGUGCGCUCGCGCGUCGGAGUUUGAGCUCGGCCGGCGUAUCGGGAGCGAAGCGUGCUCCAGAGGGCUUUCGACCGACCUCCUGGUCGGGACGGCGCUGGUCGUAAUGCAUUCUGAAGCAGGUGACAUGGAGGCCGCUCUCAACGUGUUUGAUGAAAUGCCGCACCGCGAUGAUGUGGUGUGGAAUGCCCUCAUUGCUGGCUAUGCCCGUGCGAAUUGCAUGGGAGAGGCUCUCAGGUUAUUUGUAAGGAUGAGGAUGGUGGAUGGAGUGUCUCCGACUGAGGCGACACUGGUGAGCUUGGUUUCCGGGUUUGCAAGCUAUGGUUCUUGGAAGGUCUGCUAUAUGAUGCAUGCUGCUGUGAUUAGGUCUGGUUUCCAGCUUAACGUCUGUGUUUGCAACUCUCUCCUGGAGCUUUAUCUUUACUCCGGCUGUUUGAGGGAGGCUGUGAUGUUGUUUCGUCAGAUGGAGGAGAAAGAUUCCAUCACUUGGAGUACGAUGAUUGGUGGGCUUGUUCGGAAUGGACGACCCAAUUCUGCUCUUAACCUCUUCCACUGGAUGCUGUCAAAUUCGACUGUGUCGGCCACUAGGUCCAUCUUGCUUAAUGUCAUUGCGGCCUGUGCUGAGCUGGGGCAGUGGGAACAAGGAAGAUGGAUUGAACAAAGCUAUGUGCUGGCUGAUUCUAGUGAAUUCAAUAGAGAUCCAUCUUUGGUAACUGCACUGAUAUAUAUGUAUGCAAGGUGUGGACAGUUAGAUUCUUCAAUUGCUCUUCUACAUGGAGUUGCAGCAAUGAGAGAUGACAUAGUUGCAUGGAAUGCCAUGAUCAAAGGCUGUGGAGUUAUUGGGGAAGUGGGAAAGGCAAUAGGAUUUGCAGUGGAAAUGCAAAGGGUAGGCAUUGAUCCAGAUGCUGUCACAUUCUUGGAGAUCCUACCUAUGAUUUCUUCGAUUCCAUCACUGAAGAAGGGGAUGGAAGCACAUGGUCAGAUCGUUAAAAGAGGUUUCCAGAGUGAAAGGGCAAUUGCUAAUUCACUCAUCACCAUGUAUGGUCGAUGCGGGGAUCUUAGACAUUCAUUUGACACCUUUAGUGGGAUUGUGGACAAGGAUGUAAUCUCUUGGACUUCUAUGAUUCAGGUAUAUGCCUGGAAUGGACAUGCUGCUGAAGUUGUCCAGCUUUUUGAGCUGAUGAAGAAAGCAGAAGUGAAACCGAAUCGCUACACCUUUCUUGCCGUGCUGUCUGCAUGUAGGAACACAGGUCUUGUUGAAGAGGGAAUGGACUUGCUCAAGUUCAUGGAAGAGCAAUAUGGUCUUGAGCCGGAUGUUGAGCAUAUUUCAUGUGUUGUUGAUAUGCUCUGUCGUACUGGACGCUUGGCUGAUGCAUAUGACCUGAUAAAAAGUACUAUUUCUGAACGUGUAGACAAUCAUAUAUUAUGGGGGAUAUUGCUAAGUGCUUCCCGUUUAUCUGGGAAUUUGGUGAUUGGAGAAGCAGCUGCCAGACAUCUCUUGUCCCUAGAUCCAGAAAAUCGGGCCAACUAUAAAAUGCUUGCUGAUAUUUAUGUCUCGCUUGGGAGAAGGGAUAGUGCUGAUAAUAUCCUUAGACUAUCAUUGUCAAGAGGGCUAGACUCGAAACCAGGCUGCAGCUGGACUGAAGGUGGCUAA
rnacentral:rRNA from 1 species